rnacentral:lncRNA from 1 species
CCCGUGGAGAUUAAUGUAACUGAACAUGGUUGAGGCACAAUCAUUUGACAAAUCAUUCAAAUAGUCUGAAAAUGGACAGCCGAACUGCACAAGGGCAGCACAACAUUGUUUGGCUGGGUAUUGCGGCCCUCUGCAUUGGCUAGUGAUGACUGUGUAGUUCUGAAACUCGAAGCUAAUAGGACAAGCUGCAUAACACAUCGAUGCAAAUCAUUCUUCAGCAAGUCUUAAGAAGCGUUUUUCAAGCUAUUGAGAUAAAAGUUUUAAGAAAAGAGGUUGUCAGAGAGUUACAAACAUGCAAAAUUCUGCAUCUAACAACAGCCAAUAGCUAGACAAGUAAUCUAGCAACCAGCGGCAUCAACUUCCACGUUAACAGAAUUUAGGACUUCUCCCUUUAAGGUACAACAAUGUUUUCCACCAUUGGAAAGCAUGAUCAUAUUGCUUUUAAGUCAGCAACAGGAUAAGCGACACCCGCGACAAGGCUGGGUAUUGCGGUCCUCUGCAUUGGCUAGUGAUGACUGUGUAGUUCUGAAACUCGAAGCUAAUAGGACAAGCUGCAUAACACAUCGAUGCAAAUCAUUCUUCAGCAAGUCUUAAGAAGCGUUUUUCAAGCUAUUGAGAUAAAAGUUUUAAGAAAAGAGGUUGUCAGAGAGUUACAAACAUGCAAAAUUCUGCAUCUAACAACAGCCAAUAGCUAGACAAGUAAUCUAGCAACCAGCGGCAUCAACUUCCACGUUAACAGAAUUUAGGACUUCUCCCUUUAAGGUACAACAAUGUUUUCCACCAUUGGAAAGCAUGAUCAUAUUGCUUUUAAGUCAGCAACAGGAUAAGCGACACCCGCGACAACAUAUUACAUACGAAUUGCAGGAAGUAAGGAGAACUUGAGGCACUGAACCUUCACAAUCUAGUUGCUCGCAAGAAUUAUGUUUCGUAUCCAGAGGAAUCAGGAUAAUCUACCAUGUCACAGUUGUAGUUCAUUCUUAAAAGUUAGUAAUAUACUUUUCUCAUUUCCCCACUUAUGACCUAAAAAUAUGCAGUAGCACCAUACACAUUAUAUCACCUUAUCGAUGAGAUGUCUUUACUUAAUUUUUAACCCCAAAUAACAGGCAGUCCUAGUUGAUAUUUCAACCACAUGGAAACACACCUAAGUUGCAAUACUCAAACAUCUACUUCACUUUCCGACCAUCUAGCAACUGGAUGAUUAAAGCGUACAAGAAGAUCCACAGCCCACAAUACAGAGUUCAUCGAACAUAAACAUUAAUCCUUAAUGGUUAAUCCGAAUCUGAGUAUCAUAAACAGACUCCGCUGGCAAACUGACAAGCACAAAUUGGAAAAACAUCUCUAUCAAAUGAUGUGGCGCUGUGCAAAUUGGAGUACAUGGAAGAUUGGAGCACAUCCUACUGCCUAUUGACCUUUGAACAGAACAACUAAAAGGACUUUUAGCAGAACUAUCACAUGAUAUUUAUUAACUAGAAAUUAGUAUAUAGUCAGAAGUUUCUUAAAUUGAAGAUUCACAAUCCUAAAAAGUUUGGUUUUUCCCUUAUAUUUGCAAUAACCUGAAAAACUCUAAAAGAAAAACAACAACAAUUGCAAGUUUUUUAUAAAAAAAAUUACCUAUUUUAGAAAGCAUUCAAGAAUGUUUAAAACCAAACUUACUAAAAGAGCAGAACCAAGACAAAUCACGAAUCCCAAAAAAAAAAAACUGAAACUAAGCUGAAAUAUGAGAAUACCCAAAAGCUAUUUCUGUAAAUUUAUUAUCAACAAUAAUUAUACUUGAAGAAUAAAACUCAGUUAACAGAUCUUUGGUCAAAUUAAUUGAGAUGGUACAAAAUUUAACCAAUGAGGUGUGUAAAUCUAAAAUACCCACAAUUUUAGCUCCUAAUGAUGAUGAUUAUCAACUAAAUCUUGGCGCAAUAAAAUAAAAAAAGA